GGAAAAGCAGGCAAGGGAGGGAGUGUGAAAGGAACAUCUGCAGAAAAGCACAUGUGGAAUCGACCAAAAGAAGACUGGGUUAUCUUUCAUGGAUCCAGCAGUACAGGGACUUUUUCCAUGGGAAUAUAUGGAAUACAUAUCUAAUGCUGCCAAGCAUUUUCUAAGCUUUUAGAACCAUGGGAGUAGCAACAAGAAGACAAAAUAGGCCAAGAGACACAGACAACAUGGCGAAGUAUUUCAAUUGUUGGUUCACUCCCCAAAACGCCCGCAAGAGCCAGCGCUGGACCAAGUUGAAGCCAGCUUGCCCACGUGGAAGGCAAGCGCCCAAGUAACUGAACCAUCACUUGCUGCCUCUCAGGGUAUGCAUUAUUAGGAAGCCGGAAUAGGAGCAGAACCAAGACACGAACCAAGGCACUUCAUUAAGAGACGUGGGUGUCUCAACCACUGCACCAAUCACCUACCACCCUCUUAUAUGACCACUACUGUGUAUGCAGUUCCUUGUUGACAUCACCAUGCUUAUGCAGUCCAUCAGAGCACCAAUUAAUAACCCUGUCCGAGUUCCUAACCCUCUCUGUGCUUGUUUCAUCAAUCAAAACAUGAGAACCUAAGAAUUAACCAGCAUUUAAAGUGCU